rnacentral:rRNA from 1 species
GUCCACGCCUAACGAUGUCAACUGGUUGUUGGGUCUUCACUGACUCAGUAACGAAGCUAACGCGUGAAGUUGACCGCCUGGGAGUACGGCCGCAAGGUUGAAACUCAAAGGAAUUGACGGGACCCGCACAAGCGGUGGAUGAUGUGGUUUAAUUCGAUGCAACGCGAAAACCUUACCUACCCUUGACAUGUCUGGAAUCUUUUAGAGAUAGAAGAGUGCCCGAAAGGGAGCCAGAACACAGGUGCUGCAUGGCUGUCGU